AGCACUGCAAUGUGUGGAAGAGACACUUUCUGGUUUUGGGUUUUAUCAGCUGUUCCAUUCUACGGCGCAACAUGGGAACACUUUUUCACAAAUACUCUUAUUCUUCCUGCAAUUAAUGGACCAACCGAGGGUCUGAUGAUGAUAUAUGUAGCUCAUUUUUUCACAGGCGUAGUUGGUGCUGAGUGGUGGGUUCAGAACUUUGGGAAGUCUUUUCCCUUUUUAAGUUGGGUGCCAAUUAUAAGUGAAAUCCCAACUUUCAGAGCUGUGCUGUUUAUAAUGAUAGCUUGUGGUGUUAUUCCUACGAUUGCAUUCAAUGUGUGCAAUGUCUACAAGGUUGUUCAGUCAAGAAAAGGCAGCAUGUUACUGGCAUUAGCCAUGCUUUACCCUUUUGUUGUGCUCAUGGGAGGCGUCUUGGUGUGGGAUUAUCUGUCUCCAUCUGAUAUAAUGGGAAAAUAUCCUCAUCUAGUCAUACUGGGGACUGGACUUGCAUUUGGGUU
rnacentral:misc_RNA from 1 species